rnacentral:rRNA from 1 species
CCUGCGUUCGAUUAGCUAGUUGGUGGGGUAAAGGCCUACCAAGGCGAUGAUCGAUAGCUGGUUUGAGAGGAUGAUCAGCCACACUGGGACUGAGACACGGCCCAGACUCCUACGGGAGGCAGCAGUGGGGAAUAUUGGACAAUGGGGGCAACCCUGAUCCAGCAAUGCCGCGUGUGUGAAGAAGGUCUUCGGAUUGUAAAGCACUUUCGACGGGGACGAUGAUGACGGUACCCGUAGAAGAAGCCCCGGCUAACUUCGUGCCAGCAGCCGCGGUAAUACGAAGGGGGCUAGCGUUGCUCGGAAUGACUGGGCGUAAAGGGCGUGUAGGCGGUUUUGACAGUCAGAUGUGAAAUCCCCGGGCUUAACCUGGGAGCUGCAUUUGAGACGUUAAGACUAGAGUGUGAGAGAGGGUUGUGGAAUUCCCAGUGUAGAGGUGAAAUUCGUAGAUAUUGGGAAGAACACCGGUGGCGAAGGCGGCAA